GAUGAACGCUGGCGGCAUGCCUAAUACAUGCAAGUCGAACGAGAGGAAGGAAAGCUUGCUUUUCUGAAUCUAGUGGCGAACGGGUGAGUAACACGUAGGUAACCUGCCCAUGUGCCCGGGAUAACUUCUGGAAACGGAUGCUAAAACCGGAUAGGUAGCAGACAAGCAUUUGACUGCUAUUAAAGUGGCUAAGGCCAUGAACAUGGAUGGCACUGCGGUGCAUUAGCUAGUUGGGGAGGUAACGGCCCACCAAGGCGACGAUGCAGAGCCGGCCUGAGAGGGCGGACGGCCACAUUGGGACUGAGACACGGCCCAAACUCCUACGGGAGGCAGCAGUAGGGAAUUUUCGUCAAUGGGGGGAACCCUGAACGAGCAAUGCCGCGUGAGUGAGGAAGGUCUUCGGAUCGUAAAGCUCUGUUGUAAGAGAAAAACGACAUUCAUAGGGAAUGAUGAGUGAGUGAUGGUAUCUUACCAGAAAGUCACGGCUAACUACGUGCCAGCCGCCGCGGUAA
rnacentral:rRNA from 1 species